rnacentral:rRNA from 1 species
UACGUAGGGUCCGAGCGUUGUCCGGAGUUACUGGGCGUAAAGGGCGCGCAGGUGGCGGUGUUGGCCCGGCGUGAAAGCCCCCGGCUCAACCGGGGAGGGUCGUCGGGGACCGCACCGCUUGAGGGCGGUAGGGGCUGGUGGAAUGCCUGGUGUAGUGGUGAAAUGCGUAGAGAUCAGGCGGAACACCCGUAGCGAAGGCGGCCAGCUGGGC